UACGUAGGGGGCAAGCGUUGUCCGGAUUUAUUGGGCGUAAAGCGCACGCAGGCGGUCUGUUCAGUUUGGAGUGACAGUUCCUGGCUCAACCGGGAAAGUGCUUCGAAUACUGGCGGACUUGAGGGCUUCAGAGGGACACGGAAUUCCGGUGUAGCGGUGAAAUGCGUAGAGAUCGGAAGGAACAUCAGUGGCGAAGGCGACUGUCUGGACAGAUACUGACGCUGAGGCGCGAAAGCGUGGGGAGCAAACAGG
rnacentral:rRNA from 1 species